GUGGCCGGUUCGAUCCCUGACUGGUAGGAAAAAUGUGGGUGGGGGGGAGUGACUGAACAGCGUUCUCCCACAUCCACGGAUGAGGUGCCCUUGAGCAAUGCAUCUAACCCCCAACUGCACCUCGGGCGCCGGAUUAACUGCAACGGGCAUCCUGACCUCAGCAAGAGACUGACAGCAACCCUGGACCUCAGUCGGCAGAUGAAGUACCACAGCCAAACUGCAGCUACCACCCGCAUCGAAGGAGAGAUGAAGAGGAGAGCCAUCUGCAGCACCACCGAAGCAGCAGAGACAGCCUCAAGAUGCCUAUAGCCAUUUGGACACCAGUGGAGUCAGCUGGACAAGGGUGUUGAUGUUGGAAGACCCAAAAUAAAAACAUCCCAGAGAAAUAUGUAUAAUGAGACACUUACUCCUUGUUUCCAAGCCCAGCUCCUCGUUUCUGGAAUUUCCUGCUACGUCCCAGGUUGUAGAACUUUUAUGUUGGACAUUUUCUAUUGGACCUUUUCUGUUGGAUGAUAUCCUCUUGCCAGAUUGGAGCCUUUAUGUAGGACUGCCUUGUUUGUCAA